AUUGAACGCUGGCGGCAGGCCUAACACAUGCAAGUCGAGCGGAUGAACGGAGCUUGCUCCUGUCUUCAGCUGCGGACGGGUGGGUAAUUCCUAGGAAUAUGCCUGGUAUUUUGGGAUAGCGUCCGUACACGGGCGCUAAUACCACAUACGUCCUUAUGUAGAACGUGGGGGAUCUUCGGACCUCACGCUAUCUGCUGAGCCUACGUCGCAUUAGCUCGUUGGUUUGGUAACGGCGGACCAAGGCGACGAUCCGUAGCUGCCCUGAGAGGAUGAUCAGCCACACUGGAACUGAGACACGGUCCAGACUCCUACGGGAGGCAGCAGUAGGGAAUCUUCCGCAAUGGGCGAAAGCCUGACGCAGCAAUGCCGCGUGAGUGAUGAAGGUCUUCGGAUCGUAAAGCUCUGUUAUUAGGAAAGAACAACAGCAGAAGAAUCUCUCCACGUCCUGACGGUACCUAAUCAGAAAGCCACGGCUAACUACGUG
rnacentral:rRNA from 1 species